GCCCCUCGAUCACAAGGCUAGUCUGUCAGGUCAGCCAAAUCCACUGAAGCCAUACUGGAAGAACCUUGUGACCCUCUCACAAGAGGUAAGAGUUGAACUGAUGCCCAGCACACUCCCCGGAGAGCUGAGCCCCCACAAAGUUGGGAGUGGGGCAGGCAGAGGGGUGAUGCCUGCCUGGUGCCAGCCUUGAGGAAACCCUGUGGCUCCUGACAGAAGGGCAGAACCUGAUACCUGGGUUUGACUAAGAGCAAAAAAGAGCAGCUCCCACAGCGCCCAGCGCCUGGCAUGUGCUCCACAGACACACGAAGAAAUGAAGGCGGGUACAGGAGAGGAAGGGGACAAGAGGACAGAGGAAGGAUGUCUGAGAGAUGCCCAGCGUGGGUGGGUGCUCCCUCCCCCCUGCCUCCGCUCCUCCUCCUCCCCGGAACUGCUGCCUCCUCCGCCUGAGCGGCUGAUGCCCUCUGGGUUCUGUUUUCAUUCCAGGCUGUGGAUCCGGUCGUGGGAAGCAGAGAAGACUGCUAGGCCUGAGCUGACUCCCCUGGAAACCCCAGACUCCAGUGACGUGCUUCUGGAACCUGCUCAGACAAAGUUAGAUGCGGAGCUGAGCCACCUUUGGCCACAUAGAUGAAGACACCUUAGAAGAUGGCAGAGACACAAAAUGGAAAAGCCCUGGGUCUCCAUAUGAUGACAUGGUGGACAUCUGCCCUGCCAGUCUGGACCAUUCAUUUCCAGACUAUGAGUGAGAAAUAUGCUUCCAUCUUAUUUAAGCAACUGUAUUUGGGAGGGUUUUUUUGUUUUUUUGUGGUUGUUGUUGUUGUUGUUAUCGGAGCUUAGUUUUUACUCUAAC
rnacentral:lncRNA from 1 species